CUCCUACGGGAGGCAGCAGUUAGGAAUCUUGCGCAAUGGGCGAAAGCCUGACGCAGCCAUGCCGCGUGAAUGAUGAAGGUCUUAGGAUUGUAAAAUUCUUUACAGUUGGGGACGGAGUAAUGAACGGGUACCCACACGAACGAAGCUCCGGCUAACUUCGUGCCAGCAGCCGCGGUAAUAC
rnacentral:rRNA from 1 species